rnacentral:rRNA from 1 species
GAUGAACGCUGGCGGCGUGCUUAACACAUGCAAGUCGAACGGAAAGGCUCCUGCUUGCAGGGGUACUCGAGUGGCGAACGGGUGAGUAACACGUGGGUGAUCUGCCCUGCACUUCGGGAUAAGCCUGGGAAACUGGGUCUAAUACCGGAUAGGACGAUGGUUUGGAUGCCAUUGUGGAAAGUUUUUCGGUGUGGGAUGAGCUCGCGGCCUAUCAGCUUGUUGGUGGGGUAAUGGCCUACCAAGGCGUCGACGGGUAGCCGGCCUGAGAGGGUGUGCGGCCACAGUGGGACUGAGAUACGGCCCAGACUCCUACGGGAGGGAGGAGUGGGGAAUAUUGCACAAUGGGCGCAAGCCUGAUGCAGCGACGCCGCGUGGGGGAUGACGGCCUGCGGGUUGUAAACUCCUUUCGCUAGGGACGAAGCGCAAGUGACGGUACCUGGAGAAGAAGCACUGGCUAACUACGU